CACGGAGUUAGCCGAUCCUUAUUCUUACGGUACAUUCAGCCGGAUACACGUAUCCGGGGUUAUUCCCGUACAAAAGCAGUUUACAACCCGUAGGGCCGUCUUCCUGCACGCGGCAUGGCUGGUUCAGGGUUCCCCCCAUUGACCAAUAUUCCUUACUGCUGCCUCCCGUACGGAGUCUGGUCCGUGUCUCAGUACCAGUGUGGGGAGUUCUCCUCUCAGAGCCCCUAGACAUCGUCGCCUUGGUGGGCCGUUACCCCACCAACCAGCUAAUGUCACGCGAGCCCAUCCAUAUCCUAUGAAUAUUUAACAGCUCUACCAGGCGGUAAUGCUGUCUCAUGCGGUAUUAAUCCGGAUUUCUCCGGGCUAUCCCCCUGAUAUGGGCAGGUUGCUCACGCGUUACGCACCCGUGCGCCACUCUCAUCACCAGCAAGCUGGUGAUUCCCGUCCGACUUGCAUGUAUUAGGCCUGCCGCUAGCGUUCAUCCUGAGCCAGGAUCAAACU
rnacentral:rRNA from 1 species